CCUACGGGGGGCAGCAGUGAGGAAUAUUGGUCAAUGGACGAGAGUCUGAACCAGCCAAGUAGCGUGAAGGAUGACUGCCCUAUGGGUUGUAAACUUCUUUUAUAUGGGAAUAAAAUGUUCCACGUGUGGGAUUUUGUAUGUACCAUAUGAAUAAGGAUCGGCUAACUCCGUGCCAGCAGCCGCGGUAAUACGGAGGAUCCGAGCGUUAUCCGGAUUUAUUGGGUUUAAAGGGAGCGUAGGUGGAUUGUUAAGUCAGUUGUGAAAGUUUGCGGCUCAACCGUAAAAUUGCAGUUGAAACUGGCAGUCUUGAGUACAGUAGAGGUGGGCGGAAUUCGUGGUGUAUCGGUGAAAUGCUUAGAUAUCACGAAGAACUCCGAUUGCGAAGGCAGUUCACUGGACUGCAACUGACACUGAGGCUCGAAAGUGUGGGUAUCAAACAGGAUUAGAUACCCGAGUAGUC
rnacentral:rRNA from 1 species